CUCUCCCAUUCACUCUCUCAUUGCCGUUCAAGCCAAAGAACAAAGGGGGAAAGAAUAGAAAAACCCUAAGGAGGAAAAAUUCAAGAGAAAUUCAUUGGAUUUCCAAAAAAACGAAGCGAUCGGAGGUGGUGAGCCCUCUGGUAAGGGUAAGGAUAUCGUACCCAAGGACCAGGAGUAGGAGUACUCCCGUUAUUGUUCAGAGCAGUCUGUAGACAACCGAUUUUGUCGAGGGUUUGCUUUUGGAUUUGCACCCUGAGAAAUCGUAGGUCUACAGUCCUGUUUAUUUUUGUUAUUUCGAGGCUCACAUAUCAUUGUAAAAUAUUUUUGUAUACC
rnacentral:sRNA from 1 species